AACGAACGCUGGCGGCGUGCCUAAUACAUGCAAGUCGAGCGGACUUGAUGGAGCUUGCUCCUGAUAGUCAGCGGCGGACGGGUGAGUAACACGUGGGCAACCUGCCUGUAAGACUGGGAUAACUUCGGGAAACCGGAGCUAAUACCGGAUACGUUCUUUUCUCGCAUGAGAGAAGAUGGAAAGACGGUUUCGGCUGUCACUUACAGAUGGGCCCGCGGCGCAUUAGCUAGUUGGUGGGGUAAUGGCUCACCAAGGCGACGAUGCGUAGCCGACCUGUGAGGGUGAUCGGCCACACUGGGACUGAGACACGGCCCAGACUCCUACGGGAGGCAGCAGUAGGGAAUCUUCCUCAAUGGACGAAAGUCUGACGGAGCAACGCCGCGUGAGUGAAGAAGGUUUUCGGAUCGUAAAACUCUGUUGUCAGGGAAGAACAAGUACCAUAGUAACUGAUGGUACCUUGACGGUACCUGACCAGAAAGCCACGGCUAACUACGUGCCAGCCGCCGCAGUAAUAC
rnacentral:rRNA from 1 species